rnacentral:rRNA from 1 species
ACUCAAAGGAAUAGACGGGGGCCCGCACAAGCGGCGGAGCAUGCGGAUUAAUUCGAUGCAACGCGAAGAACCUUACCAAGGCUUGACAUGAACCGGAAACGCCUGGAAACAGGUGCCCCGCUUGCGGUCGGUUUACAGGUGGUGCAUGGUUGUCGUCAGCUCGUGUCGUGAGAUGUUGGGUUAAGUCCCGCAACGAGCGCAACCCUCGUUCUAUGUUGCCAGCACUUCGGGUGGGGACUCAUAGGAGACUGCCGGGGUCAACUCGGAGGAAGGUGGGGACGACGUCAAAUCAUCAUGCCCCUUAUGUCUUGGGCUUCACGCAUGCUACAAUGGCCGGUACAAAGGGUUGCGAUACUGUGAGGUGGAGCUAAUCCCAAAAAGCCGGUCUCAGUUCGGAUUGGGGUCUGCAACUCGACCCCAUGAAGUCGGAGUCGCUAGUAAUCGCAGAUCAGCAACGCUGCGGUGAAUACGUUCCCGGGCCUUGUACACACCGCCCGU